AACGAACGCUGGCGGCAUGCCUAACACAUGCAAGUCGAACGAGACCUUCGGGUCUAGUGGCGCACGGGUGCGUAACGCGUGGGAAUCUGCCCUUGGGUUCGGAAUAACAGUUAGAAAUGACUGCUAAUACCGGAUGAUGACUUCGGUCCAAGGAUUUAUCGCCCAAGGAUGAGCCCGCGUAGGAUUAGCUAGUUGGUGAGGUAAAGGCUCACCAAGGCGACGAUCCUUAGCUGGUCUGAGAGGAUGAUCAGCCACACUGGGACUGAGACACGGCCCAGACUCCUACGGGAGGCAGCAGUGGGGAAUAUUGGACAAUGGGCGAAAGCUUGAUCCAGCAAUGCCGCGUGAGUGAUGAAGGCCCUAGGGUUGUAAAGCUCUUUUACCCGGGAUGAUAAUGACAGUACCGGGAGAAUAAGCCCCGGCUAACUCCGUGCCAGCCGCCGCCGUAACAC
rnacentral:rRNA from 1 species